rnacentral:lncRNA from 1 species
GUGGUAACUACCGACGGCCCAUAAUUUCAGUAUUAGCCCGUUUCCGUAUUGGGUCUGCUGAUUCGGAGGAAUCAUGCGGAAGUAGUAAAUUAGACACAUCAAGUAGUGCAAAUCACCAACCAAAACAGUGACAUUUUGGAAAACUAAUGAAAGUAAAGUUUAUUUUAAACAAGAGGAUCUGUGCCAGUUCCAUUCCGAUAGUUAGGUUAUUUGGUAGAGGUAGCCUAUAGUCACUGAAUUGUCAUCAUCAGAUAGUUAUGGCUUGGAGCGACUCUAUGGUGUCAAUGAAUGGAACUCAAGUUUCCUAUAUUGGACAUGACUGUAAGGACAUCCCAGAGUUCCUUGGAGAAAGAUAUGGACUCUUGACAAGACGGCUAGAUCUCAGCUUCAAUCAGCUAAGCCUAUGGAGGUGAGAUGAUGCAUACCUGCAGUACAACAGUCUAUGGAGGUGAGAUGAUGCAUACCUGCAGUACAACAGCCUAUGGAGGUGAGAUGAUACAUACCUGCAGUACAACAGCCUAUGGAGGUGAGAUGGUACAUACCUGCAGUACAACAGCCUAUGGAGGUGAGAUGGUACAUACCUGCAGUACAACAGCCUAUGGAGGUGAGAUGGUACAUACCUGCAGUACAACAGCCUAUGGAGGAAUGAAGAUGGUGAAAUGGCUGGUCCUACGUGCUGCCAAACUUUGCUGAUGGUAUCAGGCAGAUUGAGAUGAAUUGAUGACUCAGUAUCGACCCUCGCUUGGAUGUGAAUGGAGAAGUUGAAUGUAAAUCUAUCCGGGCGGAAACCAUUACCAUAACCCCACUCUGGAAUAAAGCAUUCACCAAUUUUACAGGCAUGUCAUUACUUGAACCAUAUAGGAAUGUCCCUUCAGAUACAGUUAAUAUGUAUUAUACCAAAAGGAAUGUCUAGAUUAAAUAUUAUACUAAUAUUGAUAAUGAUCAUUUUAAGCCGUUUGGCAUUGUAUUAAUUCCUCCAUCAUAAUAAUAUUCACCACAUCAUCGACCUAGUAUCAGUGAUAUUUUGAGUAGCUCCCCCUGUGGCCAGUUGCUAGUAUAACAGGUGUGUUCAGUGUUGCCCCACUAGAUCCCCCAUUCUCACAGUGACAUCUGAACCUGUCAAGAGACAUAUUAGGUGCCAGGAUCCCACACCUGCUCAAGGGGGUGGAAGCAUGGUGUGUUUGUGUGCGAGUGCACAUUUUAGCUAUAGGAGGGAUGGGACCCCGCAGACCCUGCAACCGGACUCUCCAAUCCCCAUCCUGUUCCCACAGUGGACCUAAACCACCUUUCUGCAGCCCCAGUGGCUCUGGUGGCUAACUCAUGGCUCACUUGACCGUGAUUACAGGAAGCCCAUUGUUGCAGGGGACAGAAUUCAGGGGGAAAGUGGUGUAAUCCUGGCUCUGUCCUGGAUCAGUCAGGUUGGAUUUCACACACAACCCCCUGAUCAGGCUGCAGCACAGCCCUCAGCCAAGCUAGGCCCCGCAAUACAACGCAC